UCAGCACAGAGGCCCUGGCUCCCUCGUUGAUCUUCUAUCACUCAUUUUCAUUCCUUUGGGUGUUGCAACUUUUCAGGAGGCCUUGAUUAAAAUGAAAAUACUUGUCUGAGAGUUAGCUCACACUGGAAAGGAGCAGUGGCUCUCUGGGAGCAAGAUCUUGUGGGCUGGGGAACCAGGGGACUUCUAGAGUAGAGGAGCUAAAUGGGAUGGAGGCCCCCACGAUGAAUGCUGCCACCAUGUCCCUCAAUGCAACCCCGAGGGGCUCCCCUAUUCCUAAGUUGGGGAACAUCCUCCAUUCCACAGACCAGACCGACAGCAGUCCCAGCUCCCUUUCAGGCAGGGCACAGGACGCCUGCAGCCCCCUAGAGGCUGUGUCCCCAUCUUUGUGGGAGCAGACAGGCAGUAGCCCAAAGCUGGAGGUUUCAUUGAAUAUUUCUGACCCCCCUGAUGUUCCAGGUACCACACUGGUUGCUGGGACUACCUUCUGCCAGGAGGUGCAUGGAUGAGUAGGGAGAGGGCCCAUUAAGAGGCCACCAUAGCACAGCAGGGACUGAGAACCAAACCCCAAGAGCAGCCCGUCUUCCCUCAGAAGGGUGAUGUUCAGUAUACAUCUGGGCGAUGGCAUUACACGGCCUGACCUGCAAUCCAGCUCUGUGGCUGGGUUUGCCCUGUGGCUUGAGGCAAGCUGCUGACCUUCUCUAGUCUCCAUUUCCCUAUCUGUAAGACGUAAAUCCCUUGGCCUCACAGUGGACACUUAAUGUUAGUUCUCCCCUCAAGGUUGCUCUAAGGAUUUAUUCAAAAACAGCUGACAUCAAUGCAGAGGAAAAAUAAGCUACAAUAAGGAUUGAGGUGAGAGGUCAACAGAACAUACUACAGGGAGGAUGAGAUCCCUGAAGAGAGCCAAAGGACUGUGGGAACUCUCAGAAUAGGGGCACGAUUACGGCAGGGCCUUGAGGGAGCUUACCAGAUAUGUUCUUUCAAGAAACCCAAGAUCAAUCCCAGCCAAUGGCAAAGUGUCCCGUGGGGAGAACAGAGAAGCAAAGCCAAAUGUCUGUAUAAAAUGUUUAUUUUU